rnacentral:rRNA from 1 species
CCUACGGGAGACAGCAGUGGGGAAUAUUGGGCAAUGGAGGCAACUCUGACCCAGCAACGCCGCGUGAAUGAUGAAGGUCUUCGGAUUGUAAAGUUCUGUGAUGGGGGAUGAACACAAUGACGGUACCCCAAUAGCAAGCCACGGCUAACUACGUGCCAGCAGCCGCGGUAAUACGUAGGUGGCAAGCGUUAUCCGGAAGGACUGGGCGUAAAGGGUGCGUAGGUGGUUUAGUAAGUUGGCGGUGUAAUUCCGGGGCUCAACCAUGAGAGUGCGGCGCGAACUGGAGACCUUGAGUGCGCGGAAGGCAGGCGGAAUUCGUGGUGUAGCGGUGAAAUGCUUAGAUAUCACGAAGAACCCCGAUUGCGAAGGCAGCCUGCCGCAGCGUUACUGACGCUGAAGCUCGAAAGCGCGGGUAUCGAACAGGAUUAGAUACCCCUGUAGUC